rnacentral:ncRNA from 1 species
CUUGCGUGUGCGUAGGAAUUUUUUUGAAAUUACUACGUUCCCCAACAAAAGUACCUGUGAGCAUGUAGGUUUGGUUGAAAUUGGUUACGACGACGUCGAGUUGGCGGCGGAGGAAGACUCAGCAUGAAGGCCAGCCGCCCGGCGGUGUGGAACGUAGUGGUAAUAAUACACACUCCGUUCCGAAACAAAGAAAGAGGUGUGUGGCGCACUCACGAGGGACUGCCAGUGAGAUACUGGAGGAAGGUGGGGAUGACGUGAAGUCUGCAUGGCCCUUAUGGGCGGGGCCACACACGUGCUACAAUGGCAAUGGCAAUGGGAAGCAAGGCUGUAAGGCGGAGCGAAUCCGGAAAGAUUGCCUCAGUUCAGAUUGUUCUCUGCAACUCGGGAACAUGAAGUUGAAAUCGCUAGUAAUCGCAGAUCAGCAUGCCGCGCUGAAUAUGUACCCGGG